GUUAAAAAGCUCGUAGUUGGGAUUUCUGUCGAGGGCGGGCGGUCCGCACUAUGUGCGUGUAUCUUGUUCGGUCUUGGCAUCCUCUUGGGGAAUGCUUCUGUGCUUGAUUGCAUGGGGUGGAAUUCAAGACUUUUACUUUGAGGAAAUUAGAGUGUUCACGGCAAGCUACCGCUUUGAAUACAUUAGCAUGGAAUAAUAAUAUAGGGCGUAAGUUCUAUUUUGUUGGUUUCUAGGACAUACGCAAUGAUUAAUAGGGACAAUUGGGGGCAUUCGUAUUAACGCGUCAGAGGUGGAAUUCUUAGAUUGCGUUACGACGAACUACUGCGAAAGCAUUUGCCAAAGAUGUUUUCAUUGAUCAAGAACGAAAGUAUGGGGAUCGAAGACGAUUAGAUACCGUCGUAGUCUAUACCAUAAACUAUGCCAAUUAGAGAUUGGGCGUCGUUCGUUUUAUGACUCGCUCAGCACCUUAUGAGAAAUCAAAAUUUUUGGGUUCCGGGGGGAGUAUGGUCGCAAGGCUGAAACUUAAAGGAAUUGACGGAAGGGCACCACCAGGAGUGGAGCCUGCGGCUUAAUUUGACUCAACACGGGAAAACUUACCAGGUCCAGACAUAGUAAGGAUUGACAGAUUGAUAGCUCUUUCUGAUUCUAUGGGUGGUGGUGCAUGC
rnacentral:rRNA from 1 species